rnacentral:lncRNA from 1 species
GGAAAGUCAGAGUCAGCAAAGAUGUCACAAUGCAAGCCAAGGGAGAGGGGAGAUGUGACCAGAGGAGCAUGGCUGAUGGGCUUUGGUGAUGGAGGAAAGUGACACAAUCCAUGGAGUGCAGGUGGCCUCUAGAAACUGGUAAUGGAAAGGAGGUAGAUUUUCACAUAGAUCUUCCAGGAAGAACGCAGCUGUGCUAACACCUUGAUUGUUGACAGGAAGACCCAUAUCAGAUUUCUGACUUCCAGAACUGCAAGAUAAUUCCCUUGUGAUGUUCAAAGCCAGUAAUGUUGUAAUAAUGUGUUACAUCAGCAAUGGAAAGUAAUAAACUCUUCUUGUCACCAACUUGCCAGCAGUGCUGCUUCUCUCCAGCAGCAGAGGCUGUCCUUGAUGGAAGAAACACUCAUGACAAUCUGUAA